rnacentral:rRNA from 1 species
AUUGAACGCUGGCGGCAGGCCUAACACAUGCAAGUCGAACGAGUGGCGGACGGGUGAGUAAUGUCUGGGCAACUGCCUUCUGGAGGGGGAUAACUACUGGAAACGGUAGCUAAUACCGCAUACCAUCAGAUGUGCCCAGAUGGGAUUAGCUAGUAGGUGGGGUAACGGCUCACCUAGGCGACGAUCACUAGCUGGUCUGAGAGGAUGACCAGUCACACGGGAACGGAGACACGGUCCAGACUCCUAAGGGAGGCAGCAGGGGGGAAUAUUGCACAAGGGGCGCAAGCCUGAUGCAGCCAUGCGGCGUGUGUGAAGAAGGCCUUCGGGUUGUAAAGUACUUUCAGCGGGGAGGCGUUACCCGCAGAAGAAGCACCGGCUAACUCCGUGCCAGCAGCCGCGGUAAUUC